rnacentral:rRNA from 1 species
CCUACGGGAGGCAGCAGUGAGGAAUAUUGGUCAAUGGGCGUAAGCCUGAACCAGCCAAGUCGCGUGAGGGAUGAAGGUUCUAUGGAUCGUAAACCUCUUUUAUAAGGGAAUAAAGUGUGGGACGUGUCCUAUUUUGUAUGUACCUUAUGAAUAAGGAUCGGCUAACUCCGUGCCAGCAGCCGCGGUAAUACGGAGGAUCCGAGCGUUAUCCGGAUUUAUUGGGUUUAACGGGUGCGUAGGCGGCCUUUUAAGUCAGCGGUGAAAGUCUGUGGCUCAACCAUAGAAUUGCCGUUGAAACUGUCGGACUAGAGACGGCGAGAAGUACGCGGAAUGCGCGGUGUAGCGGUGAAAUGCAUAGAUAUCGCGCAGAACUCCGAUUGCGAAGGCAGCGUACCGGCGCCGGACUGACGCUGAGGCACGAAAGCGUGGGUAUCGAACAGGAUUAGAUACCCCUGUAGUC